rnacentral:lncRNA from 1 species
GUGGCACUGUGGAUUUAUGGCAUAUGGUGGAAGGACAAGAAGAGGUCCUUAUGAAAACUUCUCUUCCUGCAACUUGGAGUGCUUCCAGACAUUCUGUGGCUUUUUCCUGCCUGCCUAAGAAGCCAACUUUGCCUUUUUUCAUGUCUCAGCUUUCACUCCCCUCUGCUGCACCUUUGGCUGCUACUGCGCAUUCUGGCGGAGCCUUCCCUUCAAUUUCCGAAUCCACUUAAAGACCCUGAGUUUCCCCAUUUGGGAUGCCGUGCACUAACCCUCUGCAUCUAUCUGCAGCACACAGCUGCAUUACACCCCCGAUCUCCAUGUUCAGCCUAUACUCCUCCACUGACCUGCAAUGCCUUGUUGCAUUGUAACAGUUGUUAAUGCUCCUAAAUUUGUCAGAAAUAAGAAUGUUGUUGGACCAAUUGUUUAUCAUACGUAUAUGAUCACUGAAUGAAAGCACUAACACUAAAGGGUUAAUAAACAUUUCGUUUUGAUUUGCCACAGUGCCUAUAGUCUGGACUGACU